CGGAGCAGGCUGGGAGGGACGACUCAGUACCAGAACGUGAGACAGCAAGGCAGUGUGUUCAAAGGGUGCCAUAAACUGUUGCUUUAUUUAAUGUGGGACGACACAGCACCAGACGUCAGACACCAAGGCACUGUUCAAAGGGUGCCAUAAACUGUUGCUUUAUUUAACGUGUUUUCGCAUAACAAGACAGUGACAGGGGCCGUGGCUGCCUGCGUGUGCUGGUUCAAGCUUGGUGCCUGCCGGGAGGUGCCUACAGGGCCACCAAGGCUAAUAUUGAUACAAAUGUAGAGGGACAAAAGAGAAAGGCAGGAAGACCACCACCACCAGCACAGUGGAAGAAAGGUGUGAGGACGCAACAAUCAACACUGUCGACAAAGCAGACGACAUAGACACUCGUAUGUUCUACACCCAUUUUGGCACAGCACAGUUUGGUGCAUGGACAGCCUGGGUGUGCUGGGUCGGCCUGACAAUGUUCGCAAUGCUCAAGCUAUGCAAGUACCACCAGCAGGAGAAUAUUCGGGUGUCAAUGGCCAGGGAACGGGCUCGCCUAGUCUCUGAUCGACACUCUCAGAUCAGCGGAUGAUCGGAUGGUUCUUGGCCGGACAGCUGCUGAGUCUUCCUGUCAAAUUUCCAAACUUGAGAUUAUUUUCCUGUUGAUUUUCCUCUCUCAGGUUUUUUUUCCCAUUCUUGUUUUUUUUUUCCUCUCAGAUUUUUUCCUCUUCUUAUUUAUUUUAUUUUUUUCUGCUUCCAUUUUUGUUUUUCUGUCAAAUUGCACCUGUUUUUGUUUUUUUUCUCUUUUUUCCCCUCUUGUUUUCCUAUUGAGUUUUUCUGUCUCUACUGUCCACCUUCCUAGCUCUCUAUCUUUUUUUUUCUUUUCUUUUUUUUUUUUGGUGUGUGUGUGUGUGUGUUUGUAUACAUAGAUGUACAUAGUUGAGUUAUAUCCUGGAGAUGUGUGUGUGUGUGUGUGUGUGUGUGUGUGUGUGUGUGUGUGAAUAGAGGGAGAGAGUGUGUUUUCAUAUCUCUCUCUCUCUCUCUCUCUCUCUCUCUCUCUCUCUCUCUCUCUCUCUCUCUCUCUCUCUCUCUCUCUCUCUCUCUCUCUCUCUCUCUCUCUCUCUCUCUCUCAUAUUUGAACAAGUAAACACAUCUUACUUUUUCACAUUGCACUUAGAAAACACACACACACACACACACACACACACACACACACACACACACACACACACACACACACACACACACACUUAGUAUCACUGGCAUAAGUAGGUCUAUUUUUUUUUCAUCACGUAGGCUUAAUGAAAACGUUGUGAAAAGCUUUAAGUUGUUAAGUAGGUGAUGUAAAGUGUGUUGGUCGUAACUUAAGACCUUCCUUAUCCUUUUUUUUUCUAUACCUACCUAUUUUUUUACCUACCUAUUUUUACCUACCUAUUCUAUACCUACCUAUUUUUUUCUAUAUGAACAAGUUAAUAGUUAAUUUUAAAGCUAUUUUUUUUUCUCUCAUUUCACUUGCAUUAUUCUCUCUCUCUCUCUCUCUCUCUCUCUCUCUCUCUCUCUCUCUCUCUCUCUCUCUCUCUCUCUCUCUCUCUCUCUCUCUCUCUCU